rnacentral:lncRNA from 1 species
GGGGUUGAGUAGAUUUUGAAUCAGCAGCAUAAGUGUUCUGCCUCUAUGGAUAUCCACAAGGUCGAUCUGAAUUAUCUCCUCUUGAAUCCUACUUCCUUGAACCGAAGGCCUGAAUAGGCUUGAACGAAGUUUGGAUAUACUUGAUUGAAAUCAUCCCAAAACUGAUCUUUCUUUCUUGAUUCUUAAAGAAACCAAGAACCUUUCUUGAUCCCUUAAUUAACCAAGAAGAACUACUAUCCAGAAGUGGUUGUAACAAUCUCCCAA